UGAAGGCUGUGCCAGUCACCGAACGCGUCGCCGCUGUAUGGUAUAGGCAGACCCCGAGCACAGUGCUGUGACAGCUUAGGGUCGGAGACUCACAACAUUUUGGAAAGACUCGGAGUUCUGCAGGCUAUCGGUCGAUUCAAAAGCAGGGAGAAUGACAAGAACCCAAGAUGUCACUCAGCAGGAUAAAAUCGAGGAGCAUAUCAUAUGGUUGAGAAGCGAAGUUAACCAUUGAGCUGAACGUAAUACGAAUAAAUAUGUAAAUCAUU